rnacentral:rRNA from 1 species
ACGAACGCUGGCGGCGUGGAUAAGACAUGCAAGUCGAACGGGACAUUCAGUGUAGCAAUAUAUUGAGUGUUCAGUGGCGCAAGGGUGCGUAACACGUGGGUAAUUUGCCGUAGAGUUGGGGAUAAUCCCGAGAAAUCGGGACUAAUACCGGAUGUGGAAUGGGAGUGGCAUCACUUCUCUUCUGAAGGUGGGGACCGCAAGGCCCUGCCGCUCUACGAUAAGCCCGCGGCCUAUCAGCUAGUUGGUGAGGUAACGGCUCACCAAGGCUAAGACGGGUAGCUGGUCUGAGAGGACGACCAGCCACACUGGAACUGAGACCACGGUCCAGACACCUACGGGUGGCAGCAGUCGAGAAUUUUUCUCAAUGGCGAAAGCCUGAAGGAGCGACGCCGCGUGGGGGAUGAAGGGUUUCGAUCCGUAAAACCCCUGUCAUUUGCGAACAAUGUUCAUGUUCAUAAACAGUGGAUGAUUGAUAGUAGCGGAAGAAGGAAGGGACGGCUAACUCUGUGCCAGCAGCCGCGGUAACACAGAGGUCCCCGGAGCGUUGUUCGGAUUCACCUGGGUGUAAAGGGUGCGUAGGUGGUGAUGAAAGUAAGUUUGAUGUGAAAUCUCCGGGCUUAAUACCCGGAAAACUGCAUUGAAUACUACUUGGCUUGAGGUUUGGAGGGGGGACUGGAAUUCUCGGUGUAGCAGUGAAAUGCGUAGAUAUCGAGAGGAACACCAGUGGCGAAGGCGAGUUCCUGGACAACACCUGACACUGAGGCACGAAAGCUAGGGGAGCAAACAGGAUUAGAUACCCUGGUAGUCCUAGCCCUAAACGGUUGCGCGUUUGCUGUGAGAGGAAUCGACCCCUUUCGUGGCGAAGCUAACGCGAUAAACGCGCCUGCCUGGGGAGUACGGUCGCAAGAUUAAAACUCAAAGAAAUUGACCGGGGGGCCUGCACAAGCGGUGGAGUAUGUGGCUUAAUUCGAUGCAACGCGGAGAACCUUACCUGGCCCUGACAUGCAUGUGGUUAGAAACCAUGAAAGUGGGACGACCCCGCAAGGGGAGCGUGCACAGGUGCAUAGCAUGGCUGUCGUCAGCUCGUUGUCGUGAGAUUGUUGGGUUAAGUCCCGCAAACGAGCGCAACCCUUGUGUCCUGUUGCCCACCCCCCAAUCGAGAGAUUGGAGCACUCUGGACAGACUGCCUCGCUCAACUGGGGAGGAAGGUGGGGAUGACGUCAAGUCAGUAUGGCCCUUACUGCCAGGGCUGCACACGUACUACAAUGCCCGCUACAAAGGGAAGCAAGACCGCAAGGUGGAGCAAAUCCCCAGAAAAGCGGGCCCAGUUCAGAUUGAGGUCUGCAACUCGACCCUCAUGAAGCCGGAAUCACUAGUAAUGGCGCAUCAGCUACGGCGCCGUGAAUACGUUCCCAGUAGGCCUUGUACACACCCCGCCCGUCACAUCAUGAAAGCCGGUUGUACCCGAAGUCAUCGCUGCUAACCGCAAGGGAGCAGAUGCCGAAUGUAUGGCUGGUGAUUGGGAUG